rnacentral:rRNA from 1 species
UACAGAGGGUGCAAGCGUUAAUCGGAAUUACUGGGCGUAAAGCGUGCGUAGUCGGUUAUUUAAGUCGGGCGUGAAAGCCCCGGGCUCAACCUGGGAAUUGCAUUCGAGACUGAAUAGCUAGGGUACGGUAGAGGGAAGCGGAAUUUCCGGUGUAGCGGUGAAAUGCGUAGAUAUCGGAAGGAACAUCAGUGGCGAAAGCGGCUUCCUGGACCAGUACCGACGUUCAGGCACGAAAGCGUGGGGAGCAAACAGG